GCCUGCCUAGCUCAAUCGGAUAGAGCGUCAGACUCUUACAAUGUCUCACGGCGGAGAAGCGAUCUGAAGGCUGCGAGUUCGACCCUCGCGGUGGGCU